GGCUCGGUAGUGGACGGUCCAUGCCUGCAACUUGAAUGCGCCAUUUCUCUGUGCAAACAUCGUGCAGGUAUCGCCUGUUCGACUCGGGCCCGAGCCA